rnacentral:rRNA from 1 species
AUUGAACGCUGGCGGCAGGCCUAACACAUGCAAGUCGAACGAGUGGCGGACGGGUGAGUAAUGUCUGGGAAACUGCCUGAUGGAGGGGGGUAACUACUGGAAACGGUAGCUAAUACCGCAUACCAUCGGAUGUGGCCAGGUGGGAUUAGCUAGUGGGUGGGGUAAAGCCUCACCUAGGCGACGCUCCCUAGCUGGUCUGAGAGGAUGACCAGCCACACUGGAACGGAACCACGGUCCAGUCUCCAAUGCGAGGCAGCGGUGGGGAGUAUUGCACAAGGGGCGCAAGCCUGAUGCAGCCCUGCCACGUGUAGUGAGAGGGCCUUCGGGUUGUAAUGUACUUUCAGCGGGGAGGCGGUACCCGAAGAAGAAGCACCGGCUAACUCCGUGCCAGCCGCCGCGGUAAUAC